GACGAACGCUGGCGGCAUGCCUAAUACAUGCAAGUCGAGCGAACAGAUGAAGUGCUUGCACUUCUGACGUUAGCGGCGAACGGGUGAGUAACACGUAAGGAAUCUACCUAUAAGCGGGGGAUAACAUUCGGAAACGGGUGCUAAUACCGCAUAAUAUCUUCUUCCGCAUGGAAGAAGAUUGAAAGACGGCUCUGCUGUCACUUAUAGAUGACCUUGCGGUGCAUUAGUUAGUUGGUGGGGUAACGGACUACCAAGACGAUGAUGUAUAGCCGACCUGAGAGAGUGAUCGGCCACAUUGGGAAUGAGACACGGCCCAAACUCCUACGGGAGGCAGCAGUAGGGAAUCUUCCGCAAUGGGCGAAAGCCUGACGGAGCAAUGCCGCGAGAGUGAAGAAGGCCUUCGGGUCGUAAAACUCUGUUAUAAGAGAAGAACAAAUUGUAGAGUAACUGCUACAGUCUUGACGGUAUCUUAUCAGAAAGCCACGGCUAACUACGUGCCAGCCGCCGCCGUAA
rnacentral:rRNA from 1 species